ACAAGUCGAACGAACUCUGGUAUUGAUUGGUGCUUGCAUCAUGAUUUACAUUUGAGUGAGUGGCGAACUGGUGAGUAACACGUGGGAAACCUGCCCAGAAGCGGGGGAUAACACCUGGAAACAGAUGCUAAUACCGCAUAACAACUUGGACCGCAUGGUCCGAGCUUGAAAGAUGGCUUCGGCUAUCACUUUUGGAUGGUCCCGCGGCGUAUUAGCUAGAUGGUGGGGUAACGGCUCACCAUGGCAAUGAUACGUAGCCGACCUGAGAGGGUAAUCGGCCACAUUGGGACUGAGACACGGCCCAAACUCCUACGGGAGGCAGCAGUAGGGAAUCUUCCACAAUGGACGAAAGUCUGAUGGAGCAACGCCGCGUGAGUGAAGAAGGGUUUCGGCUCGUAAAACUCUGUUGUUAAAGAAGAACAUAUCUGAGAGUAACUGUUCAGGUAUUGACGGUAUUUAACCAGAAAGCCACGGCUAACUACGUGCCAGCAGCCGCGGUAAUACGUAGGUGGCAAGCGUUGUCCGGAUUUAUUGGGCGUAAAGCGAGCGCAGGCGGUUUUUUAAGUCUGAUGUGAAAGCCUUCGGCUCAACCGAAGAAGUGCAUCGGAAACUGGGAAACUUGAGUGCAGAAGAGGACAGUGGAACUCCAUGUGUAGCGGUGAAAUGCGUAGAUAUAUGGAAGAACACCAGUGGCGAAGGCGGCUGUCUGGUCUGUAACUGACGCUGAGGCUCGAAAGUAUGGGUAGCAAACAGGAUUAGAUACCCUGGUAGUCCAUACCGUAAACGAUGAAUGCUAAGUGUUGGAGGGUUUCCGCCCUUCAGUGCUGCAGCUAACGCAUUAAGCAUUCCGCCUGGGGAGUACGGCCGCAAGGCUGAAACUCAAAGGAAUUGACGGGGGCCCGCACAAGCGGUGGAGCAUGUGGUUUAAUUCGAAGCUACGCGAAGAACCUUACCAGGUCUUGACAUACUAUGCAAAUCUAAGAGAUUAGACGUUCCCUUCGGGGACAUGGAUACAGGUGGUGCAUGGUUGUCGUCAGCUCGUGUCGUGAGAUGUUGGGUUAAGUCCCGCACCGAGCGCACCCUUAUAUCAGUUGCCGCAUUAAGUUGGGCAUCUGGUGAAAUGCCGUGACAACCGAAGAAGGUGGGAUGACGUCAAUCACAUGCCCUUAGACUGGGCUAACCCUGCUAAAUGGAGGUAAACAGUUGCAACCGCGAAAUAACUAAUCCUUAAGCCUUUCCAUUCGAAUGGAGCUGCACUGCCCAAUGAAUCGGAACCCUAAAUCCGGAACCAUGCCGGGGAAACUUCCCGCCUGUUCCACCCCCGCCAAAGAAA
rnacentral:rRNA from 1 species